UGGGUUUGUCUUGCAGUAGGAGGUUUCUGGGUACACGUCUGGCUCUGUUGAUCUGUUUCCUUAUUUCCUCAUGAGGGUAUUGUAGUUUUGGCAGUGCUUGGUGGAAAUUUUGUGGGAGUUGG